UACGUAGGGCGCAAGCGUUGUCCGGAAUUAUUGGGCGUAAAGAGCUCGUAGGCGGUUUGUCGCGUCUGCCGUGAAAAUUCGAGGCUCAACCUCGAACUUGCGGUGGGUACGGGCAGACUAGAGUGUGGUAGGGGAGACUGGAAUUCCUGGUGUAGCGGUGAAAUGCGCAGAUAUCAGGAGGAACACCGAUGGCGAAGGCAGGUCUCUGGGCCACUACUGACGCUGAGAAGCGAAAGCAUGGGGAGCGAACAGG
rnacentral:rRNA from 1 species